rnacentral:antisense_RNA from 2 species
CUUGACGGAGCCGAGCCACAGCGGUUCCUGGUCGCCGCGUUCGCGUCCGUACGUGGCGAGCAGGGCCUCCGCCUC